ACAAUGGGCGCAAGCCUGAUGCAGCAACGCCGCGUGAGGGACGAAGGCCUUCGGGUUGUAAACCUCUUUUCUGAGGGACGAGGAAGGACGGUACCUCAGGAAUAAGUCUCGGCUAACUACGUGCCAGCAGCCCCGGUAAAACGUAGGAGGCGAGCGUUAUCCGGAUUUACUGGGCGUAAAGCGCGCGCAGGUGGCUUCGUGAGUCGGACAUGAAAGCUCCUGGCUUAACUGGGAGAGGCUGUUCGAUACUGCGGGGCUUGAGGUUGGGAGAGGGACGCGGAAUUCCCGGUGUAGUGGUGGAAUGCGUAGAUAUCGGGAGGAACACCAGUGGCGCAAGCGGCGUCCUGGCCCACACCUGACGCUGAGGUGCGAAAGCGUGGGUAGCAAACAG
rnacentral:rRNA from 1 species